UGAUUCCUCCGCCAGCAUCCUCCUCUGUAGCACGACGCCUCCUCUGCAGCAUGCCGUUCUCCGGCCACGGCGAUGCCCGGCGGCCCCCCUCCCCCAACCCACACCACCAACACAACCACCACGGCCUCGCCCCGUCUCGUCCUAUCCCCACCAUAGCCCCGCCCCGCCGGCCCUUACCCCCACGACGACCUCUCCCCGCCGGCCCUUAUCCACACAACGGCCUCUCCCCGCUAGCUCCUGUCACCACCGCGGCCUUGCCUCGCCGCCAACCCCGCUCAUCUUCCCUAGAUCAGCUCUGCCCCCGCCAUCGUACUGCCCAGAGCAGAUCGAGAUGCGAGCUGCUGUACAUGAUGUGGGAGGAGGCAUCUCGAAUUGGACCGAGAUUCAGUCCAUUGUGCCCGCCGUAAUCAUCGCCCCCCGUGCUUGGCUCACACAGUCGCUCCGGAAAGAAGUUCGCAGCUUGUGUACGUGCUCGGUUGCUGAAGGUUGUAAUGUCGCAUUAUUACCGGCACUAAGUAACAAAGAGUUCCAGGGUCACACGCAGGCGCCUUCGCCACAUUGUCAUUCAUUUGUGAGAUGUUUCUAUUUCUCUAUGUUGGCAUGGAUGAUAUAGAGUAGUGGAAGAAUGUUAGUGAAACACAUACAGGUAUGCUAUCUAUCUGCUUCUUUCCAUGCGAGGAGUAACAUAUUUGUUGUUCAAAUCUAGAAAUGGUAACACAUUUUCUAUACUAUAUGCAACCCAAUGAAAUGUAUGGCCUUGAGCUCCAUUAUUUAGGCCAGAUCUCAUGUGAGGUGGUCCGUCAAUUGCAUUGGCAUACCAAAUCUGUUAAUGAAAUGUGCUUCAGGAGUGCUAAGCAGUGAAAAAAUAAACAUAACAACAUACCAAAUGUACCCUGUUAAGCAUAAAUGGUUUGAGUUAUAUUAGGAGGCGUACCCAGUCGUCUGAAGACUGCUCUUAAUAUAUUAUUCUCUUUUCCAUGUUGUAACAUUUAGAUCAAUCCACUUACUGGAUUUUAAUUCCAUGUGCUCGGAUGCAUAUUUGAAUAAAUCAUCCAGUCCUUCUAGCUGUUGUACCAACAAAUGAAAAAAGUAUGAGCAUGAAAAGUGAGAAAUAAGAGGAAAAAUAGCUUCUUAUGAAAAGAUGGGUCAGUAGGACUAACUACUGACCGUAUUAGUGAAGUCCUUGCGGUUCAUUGAUGGGCCUAGCGAGUCGACACUUGAACACAUAGUUUCCUGGCAUUUAUAACACAUAGGUACCAGUGAACGUCGUCCAUGUUUAUUGGAAUGAAUAUCUGAAGAAAAUGAUUAUUUUAGUUGUACUCCUAUGUGGACGAACCGGUCGUUCUCGUUGUAAUUCAUAGAAAUAUGUAGAAAAGUAAGACUAGCCAUAUUAUUUUCCAAAAUACUCUUUGGCUCUGUUUAAUACCCAUGCUGGUGUGGCAUCUGUGUCAUCUGAGGACAGAUAGCAACCGAUCUUUAUCAUCUUAGAGAUGCAUGCACUCAAUAAGAACACACUUCCACCUGACCUUACUCGUAGAUGCUCUGUAGGUAAUCACAAUCUUCAUCAGCUAUAGAAAUUGAGUGACUGUAAGUUAGGAAAUCAAAGAUUGGAUAUGCAGUGUUUCAUGUAGCUGGCAUCACCUGUGUGGGAUUGUUUUUGUUCUAUCGUUGUAAUGACUACUGUAGAUUUGGCUCGACGCCGUUUGUCACAUAGGCUUUGUAAUAUACCUUGUCUAUGUUGCUCAUACUGGCCACUUUCCAUCUGCCUCUUGAGUGCUUGUUUUGCUUCUGUAUAAUAAGUGUUAAUUAGGUACAAGACAACAUGAGCAAAAGUGUUUUGUCAAUCAGAUGUACGGUGUAAGUGUCAAUUAAGUAUGAUAGAUAAUAUGAGCCACAAUUGAGUACCAUAUGGAGUGUUGCAUCUGUAGGCUUGAAGUGGCGGUCGUAACACAGUCGGUUGGGAGGACUCAAUGUCAGAGUCGAUAUUAUGGACAUUUUCCUUGUUAGAACCGACACUGUCUGGUGUGCUCUUAAUGAAUUUGGAGCAUGAAGUGGAGUUUGAUCACUCAUUAUCAUAUCAACAGCUGGGGUGUGUCGUUGUGGGGUGACAGCAGACUGCGCACUGGGCCUGUCCACAAUGUCAAAACAUGUCCAAAAGAAGACUUGAUUAAUACGACUUUACUUGUGAUUCAUGAAAUGUAUGAGAAAAUGGAGUAACCAGGCGACAUGGCCACGGGUGGCUUUGAUAGAGUGUUGGUUACAUUUAUAAUAGCAGACAUAGCUUUCUUAAAUCCCUUGCCUCCUGUCAUAAUUUUUUAGUAUUGCAUCCCUUUUUACCUCUCCCUUUCCCUUUGUCUCUUUAGUUCUUUUGGAUCUGUUUUUUGACCUGUGAGGCAACGAUAUAUUUUGGAUUUACAAGAUUGAAGUACGUAAGAGUACAUGAUAUAUGUAUUUACCUGAAUUGUCGUUGUUUGUCAGGUCCUGAAAGGGAGUACGUGCCCCACUAUGCUCAAAGGAUGCCAUAUUGUCAACUCAGUUUGUCAUGCAGAUCAUGAUGUACUGUCAGAAAGUAGUCAUAUGUCCUCGAGAUGCUGCGGGCCACACGGGGUGAUGACACCGCAGGUAGGGCAGCACGCCGUUGUCGAGGACGACCACCGGGUGGAGGAUGUCGCGACCACCAGGGACGGCAGCGGUGUGGCGAUGAAGGCGGGGCGAGGAAAGGUUGGGCAGCAAGGCGGGUCGAGGAAUGACGUGCACCGGGGUGGAGGACAUUGCGGCCACGAGGGGCUAGGGCGGCGUGGCGACGACGGAGGGGCGAGGAGAGGUAGGGGAGCAAGGCGGGUCGAGGAUGUCUACCGGGUCGAGGACAUCGCAUACACCAGCGCUGAUCACGGCGGUUCCUGGCGUGGUGGCGGCGUAGAUCGUGGAGGUGCUGUUUAAUUCCCAGGAGGUGUCAUCGUGGGGUUGUGUAGCAUCCUGAAUGGGGGAUUCUGCUGGCAAAACAUUUGUUGUGAACCGUUGAUUUGAUUGUAGUAUGGUUGAUGUAACGUGGACAGUUGGAUGGUAUCAAGUGGGUCUGAUUGGACGUGGGGGGUUAUCCCGUGUGCACUUUCUGGUGUGGAUGUAGGGGAAGUCAU